rnacentral:rRNA from 1 species
UACGAAGGUUGCAAGCGUUACUCGGAAUUACUAGGCGUAAAGGGCAGGUAGGUGGUUUGGUAAGUCUAUUGUGAAAGCUCCCGGCUUAACUGGGAGAGGCCAAUGGAUACUGCCAAGCUUGAGUACGGUAGGGGCAGAGGGAAUUUCCGGUGGAGCGGUGAAAUGCGUAGAGAUUGGAAAGAACACCAACGGCGAAAGCAAUCUGCUGGGCCGACACUGACACUGAGAGACGAAAGCUAGGGGAGCGAAUGGG